rnacentral:miRNA from 1 species
GAAUUUAAGCAGUCGGGACC